UAACUAGUGUGAAAACCAACUAACAUUGGAAUUUUGAAACAGCAGCAGAGAGAGUGGUUUUUAUUUUUGUUAGUUGGUGGUAAUUUGUAAUGUUUUUCUGUAACUAUUGUGAACACUCUGCUUUAUGUACACUGUAUUUUUUUUGAAGGGGGAGAAUAUUAGUAGUCUACAUGUUCCUGACAUCCAUUCAAAGUAGUGUGCAGAAUGUAAUG